UAUAAGACGCUUUUCACUUCGGCGUAUUCACGUUUAGUACGACCCCAAGCGAGGCCGAUGCGAACUUCGGCACACAACUGAAGACGUCAUUCUACAUCGAAUACAAGACGAGCAGCGUGCACUUGAAUGAAGGCCACAAAGCGAGCGCAAUGAGAGGGACAGGAGAGACUACAAUAAUGUUUGUCGCCGCUUUCUUCACGACCCUGAUGGCUUCCUGCUUGGCUUCUUCUUAUGACCAAUGUCCAGGCCACCAGCUCGUAUCGGACGCUGCGAUUAAUUCUGCCAUCUCUUCAGUGAAGAACAUCUACUUCGUUGAGGAAUUCGGGCUCAACCAAUGGCGGUGGGGCCCUUUCGCCCUUAAUUUAACAUCAUCAUUCUUCUCCAUAGUGGGCACUUUCGAGCCUUUUACGCGAUACUGUAAAGGAGGGCACGCAAUGGUGGAUGCCGAACUUGAGUUUAACUGGUUCGUCAAUGUAAAAUGCACUAUUGGAGAUCGUGACAAUUUCCUGGGCGCUGCUCCUGUGUUUUUCAACAGAGCGGUAGCCAAGGUCCAGUACCAGUUGAAUUACUCCUCGGAAAAUGGAACUUUCACGUUGUACACAGCAGCAGUGCGUCCCACGUGGCAGGGGAUGAUUUCAGCCAGCUUCCACGCCAUUGAGGCGCGAUAUAAUAUGGAAUCUGUGGGUGUUCUUGUGAACCAGUUGGUUAAGCUUUACGCAAAUGAUAUACUUAGCUGGAUUUCGGAGCGUUCUGUUAUUGAGAAAGUUUUCGAGGGGCAAAUAAAUAAAAUGGCCCCCUUUUACCUAGGCUUGUAGAGCAAUUAUCCAUAAAGUGCACUAAGGUACAGUACCCAAAUAACAAAACAUCUCGUUAAAAACAUUACUAGCUGCAUUAUAUAUGUGUGGUUCAUUUAUUUCCAGUCAUGUGCAAGCAAAGAUGAUCCCAGCGCACGUGUACAAAUCUAAAUUAGUAACUUCAGCGUUCUCCUGAGGGUCGUGCUUCAAUAAUCUUCAAAAAAGUAAAAGUUUGGUUUCUCGAAAAAUUUCUGCGGGCAAUGAGGUUGAAUUCUGGCGAUCCUCCUGUGUGUGUCCUGGCAUCUAUGUCUGAAUGCGUUACGCUGAUCAUUCUAACGCAUCUGUCCUCGUGCGAAUGCCUACUUGUCUUAUUUUAUGUGCUCGCGAUUGUUACAUUUCAAUAAAUUUAGAGAAACUUCCGGAGGUUGUAAUUCAACGGAAGCACCCUG